rnacentral:lncRNA from 1 species
CCGGUUUGCAGGAAUCUGUCCCAGAUGGGUCAAUAAAACCCCGCGGUGGAGGACGGGGACAGCCCCCCGGCAGGCAUGGGGCACGGGGACUCGGACGGCAGCACUGCCCGGUGAGGAUCGCGUCCUUGAGCACAGAGAGAGCCGGACCGGGGAUGCCAGGGGACCAACACCAGGCUGGGCCAUUCACCGGCACCAGCCCAUCCAGAACUGAACCCAAACCGCAGCCACAGGGAGACCCAGAGAGCCCCGGAGGCAACAGGGGCCGGACCACCAGCCCUGCGCUGCCUGGGGGGGCCCCGAGCCCGCUUGGAGGCAGGGAGAAAGAAAUCAGUCACCCACCUCGCCCAAACCAAGCACACGCAGCCACAGCUCAGCCCCAGAAAGUGCCGGGGGGGCCGGCUCAGCCGACACACGCAGGAGGCCGCACGCUCCCCGCAAGCUUGUGGGAGAGCAGAGGAGCUUCCAGUGCCGAGCGGCAAGGAGCUCCUUUGCAAAAAAAAAAAAAAAGAGGAACCCCGAAAUAGGCCCUUCCUCGAGUGGUGUUUCUCCACCAUGGUGGGAAGGCACAGCACCAGUACGGCCACACACACGUCCCCACCGGCUCUCCCACGCAGGGGGACCUGGCCGUGGUGCACCAGCACCCCGGUGCUGCCGGGGUUUCCCCUAACGCGCCUCUACCCCGGCAAAGGGGUGGCAGCAGCGGGAGCAGGGGUAAUGCAUCCCCUGCCAAGCAGCGCCGGGGCCACGGCGGCCGCCCCACACCGGCACUCGCUGUUUACAUUCCUGCUGCUCCUUCCCAGGCUGCGCCGGCCCGGCUGCGCCAGCUGGGCUGGGGCUGGAGCUGGAGCGCUCGGCGGCACGCGCUGGAGGGCGGCCAGGAGGAGCUCCCGGCCAGCGCCGCGCCGAGCAACCCCCUGGCCCGGGUCCAGCGGCCACGAUCCAAGCGCCGGCGCGCUGGCGGGCUGACGUGCCGGGGAAAGCCUCUCCUGGCCGGGCGCUUCGUCUCCUCUCCUCCGCCCACGGCGCAGCGGCAACAGCCGCUUUCCUCCCCUCUCCGGCUGCUUCCACGAUUAACCACCGUGCCAGGCUCUCCCUG